ACGGGAGGCAGCAGUGGGGAAUAUUGCACAAUGGAGGAAACUCUGAUGCAGCGACGCCGCGUGAGUGAUGAAGUAUUUCGGUAUGUAAAGCUCUAUCAGUAGGGAAGAUAAUGACGGUACCUAACUAAGAAGCACCGGCUAAAUACGUGCCAGCAGCCGCGGUAAUACGUAUGGUGCAAGCGUUAUCCGGAUUUACUGGGUGUAAAGGGAGCGUAGGUGGUUUGGCAAGCCAGAAGUGAAAACCCGGGGCUCAACCCCGUGGAUUGCUUUUGGAACUGUUGAACUAGAGUGCAGGAGGGGUAAGUGGAAUUCCCAGUGUAGCGGUGAAAUGCGUAGAUAUUGGGAAGAACACCGGUGGCGAAGGCGGCUUACUGGACUGUAACUGACACUGAGGCUCGAAAGCGUGGGGAGCAAACAGGAUUAGAUACCCUGGUA
rnacentral:rRNA from 1 species